GAUGAAGAACGCAGCGAAAUGCGAUAAGUAAUGUGAAUUGCAGAAUUCAGUGAAUCAUCGAAUCUUUGAACGCACAUUGCGCCCGCCAGUAUUCUGGCGGGCAUGCCUGUCUGAGCGUCAUUUCAACCCUCAUGCCCCUAGGGCGUGGUGUUGGGGAUCGGCCAAAGCCCGCGAGGGACGGCCGGCCCCUAAAUCUAGUGGCGGACCCGCCGUGGCCUCCUCUGCGAAGUAGUGAUAUUCCGCAUCGGAGAGCGAUGAGCCCCUGCCGUUAAACCCCCAACUUUCCAAGGUUGACCUCAGAUCAGGUAGGAAUACCCGCUGAACUUAAGCAUAUCAAUAAGCGGAGGA
rnacentral:misc_RNA from 1 species